UCUUAUGUACAUGCCUACAAAUUUAAUGCAUCGGAUCCUAUUAGAACUCCAAGAUUAAGCAUGCUUGGGAUAGAGUAGUACUACGAUGGUUGACCUCCUAGGAAGUCCUAGUGUUUUACAGGAC
rnacentral:rRNA from 1 species